UACGUAGGGGGCAAGCGUUGUCCGGAUUUAUUGGGCGUAAAGAGCGUGUAGGCGGUUUGGUAGGUCCGCUGUGAAAACUCGAGGCUCAACCUCGAGACGUCGGUUGAAACCAUCUGGCUAGAGUCCGGAAGAGGAGAGUGGGAAUUCCCGGUGUAGCGGUGAAAUGCGCAGAUAUCGGGAAGAACACCCGUGGCGAAGGCGGCUCUCUGGGACGGUACUGACGCUGAGACGCGAAAGCGUGGGGAGCGAACAGG
rnacentral:rRNA from 1 species